CGGGGCGUCUGUUGUGGUCGGGUUCUGAGGUGGUCUGGUCUUUCUGAGGUACAGCGUAGUUUUGUCCUCCGCGAAGUCCCUCAGGCUCAGAGCACAGCCGUGUAAUUGUCUGCGUCUCUCCCGCGCUCAAUCAGGGGCUUGCUUUGGAACCCCGGUGCCUGCUAGUGUUCUGCAUACAGUGAGCAUCCAAAAAAUGCCUCCUCCUGGGCUCUCUGGCAGUAAGACCAGCUGCAAACAUGGAUCCUUACAAGUGACUCAGCUGGGAUCCCUGGCCCCUCUGAACAGAAGGCUCAAGGCCAGAGUGUAAGCAGUGUUUUAUGCAAACUGCGGCUGUCACCGCCGCCAGCUGGCAUCAUGCAGGCAUUAGUUCAUUCAGUGCUUACCAAGCACCUACAAUGGUACCCAUCACUGCCCAAGGUCUUGGCUUUAUUCAGUCCUCAGGCUUGUAUU
rnacentral:lncRNA from 10 species